CUAAGAAGGUGUUCACUCUCAAAGCCAUUGUCUCGUGUCGACUUCCUGCUAAUUCUUAGUAUGGUGAGAUAGAUGACUUGGUAUGUGAGUUAAUUAAUUUGACUUGGCCUCAAUUUUUAAAAUGGAGGAUUUGUUUUAAUGAAAUAUUGUUUAAUGGCCAGAAAGCAUACCAGAAGUUAGAAACUACAGGCUGUGAGGCACAUUCUUGUGGCAAGGAAGAGCCUGCUCCAGAGUCCCUCAAGUUUUAAGAUGUAGCCAUUCUCUCCUACUGUGGGCUGAGAGGGAAGCCCACUCUACAGCUCUUCUUUCACCCCUCCAAAAUAACUCUGUUCAUCCUCUGUAAGCCUUCGAGGCUAUAGGAAGAUGAAGCCUAUUGGCAUGAACCCAGGGAAGAAGAAAAAUUACAUAUAUAAUAGGGACUUCACGGCCCCUUGAAGAAGAUCACGGACCCAGUUGUUUAAUGGCUGAACAAAGCACAGAAUGCAUAGACAACUUCCACUGAAGCAAUAAUAAAGCUUAUAUGUAUAACUUUCAGACCAAUUAAGUGUUGCUUAUUUUGGUUACAUCGUCGUUGCUAUCAUAACGAGUUUACUUUUUACCACUGUACAUAAUAGGGUACCUGAAAUGAUCACUCUUAAAGAAAAAAUAUGUAUAGCAAUUUUAGGAAAAGCAACAGACCACUUCUACACUCUGAACCAAGAUAAAAAAAAAUUAUAUCAAGUGCUUCUAUGCUUACCCAUAUGUAACAGGAAAGUUUGACGUUUGUACAAAGACAGUUCUAGUAAGUGGUAGAGAUGUAUGAAAUCAAAUCAAUUCAUUAAAUAGGCAUUUAGUGAAAUUACCAUAGGAGAACUGAUCCUAAAACAUCACUAUUGAUAUGUUAUAAAUGAAGUUCAAAUGAAAGAAAAAAAAAUCUGUCCUAUUUAAAACUCAGCACUGUUUCCAUAGGUUCCAAAUCAAGAUGCCUUCAACCAGUCAU
rnacentral:lncRNA from 10 species